rnacentral:rRNA from 1 species
UAAGUAAGUGGUGGAAGAAAAAAUAAACAUGAUUCUUUUAGUAAUGGCGAAUGAACAAAGACAUGGUCAUUUUGAAAAUUGUGGUCUUAGAUCAUGAAUUGUAUUUUCAAAAUGCAUUGCUAACACAACUGCACAUGUUUGUUUAUUGGAAAGAACAUCACAAAGGGUGACAAUCCCAUGUGUCAUGUGUAUGUUUUGUGUACAGCGUGCAUUAUAUGAAUCACAUUCAUUGACAAUUGAAUGCAAAUAGAAUGGUAAAUUUCAUUUAAUCAUAAAUAUGUUGUUGACAACUUAUAGCAAACAAAUACCAUGAGGGAAAUGUGAAAAGGAUUUUGAAAAGAAAAUUAAAAGAGCUUGCAAUUGCUGAACUGAUAAGCAAACAAAACAUACGUGUGUAUGCAAGAUUGUUGUAAUGCUUAGCAUCCUAUGCAAGGCUAUUGCAAUGAUUUUUUGUAUAGUGAUGCUACCUUUUUUUAGAAUUUGGAAUGUCUUUUUUUGAGUGUGAAUGGAAUUUUGUUUGUUAGCAAAGGAAUGCACUUUUAGAUUCAUUGUUUGAUUUGAUUUAAAAAUGUUUGUGACACGUGUCUUUGUUUUAGUUUCAUGCUUCAACCAAGGACAUUGUGUUUGAUCCAUAUCAGCAAUACAUGUUUUGUUUGACC